rnacentral:piRNA from 1 species
UGGAGGUUGUGAAAAUAUUGAAUUAUGC